rnacentral:rRNA from 1 species
CAGUAGCCGCGGGAACACGAAGGGGGCUAGCGUUGUUCGGAAUUACUGGGCGUAAAGCGCACGUAGGCGGAUAUUUAAGUCAGGGGUGAAAUCCCGCAGCUCAACUGCGGAACUGCCUUUGAUACUGGGUAUCUUGAGUAUGGAAGAGGUUAGUGGAAUUGCGAGUGUAGAGGUGAAAUUCGUAGAUAUUCGCAGGAACACCAGUGGCGAAGGCGGCUAACUGGUCCAUAACUGACGCUGAGGUGCGAAAGCGUGGGGAGCAAACAGGAUUAGAUACCCCCGUAGUCCCUGUCUCUUAUAC